UACAGAGGCCACAAGCGUUAGGCGGAAUCACUGGGCUUAAAGCGUGUGUAGGCGGAGGCGUAAGUGUCUUGUGAAAUCCCCCGGCUCAACCGGGGAACCGCUGGGCAUACUGCGUCUCUUGGGCCAAUCAGGGGCAGCUGGAACAAACGGUGGAGCGGUGAAAUGCGUAGAUAUCGUUUGGACCGCCAACGGCGAAAGCAGGCUGCUGGGAUUGUGCCGACGCUGAGACACGAAAGCCAGGGGAGCGAACGGG
rnacentral:rRNA from 1 species